GCACUGCUGAGGAGUCCCACAAUAGGACGAAAUGGGCGUCCAGUGC
rfam:Schistosoma curassoni strain Dakar, Senegal genome assembly, scaffold: SCTD_scaffold0000312